AGUGAACGCUGGCGGUAGGCCUAACACAUGCAAGUCGAACGGCAGCACAGUAAGAGCUUGCUCUUACGGGUGGCGAGUGGCGGACGGGUGAGGAAUACAUCGGAAUCUACUUUUUCGUGGGGGAUAACGUAGGGAAACUUACGCUAAUACCGCAUACGACAUACGGGUGAAAGCAGGGGAUCUUCGGACCUUGCGCGAUUGAAUGAGCCGAUGUCGGAUUAGCUAGUUGGCGGGGUAAAGGCCCACCAAGGCGACGAUCCGUAGCUGGUCUGAGAGGAUGAUCAGCCACACUGUAACUGAGACACGGUCCAGACUCCUACGGGAGGCAGCAGUGGGGAAUAUUGGACAAUGGGCGCAAGCCUGAUCCAGCCAUACCGCGUGGGUGAAGAAGGCCUUCGGGUUGUAAAGCCCUUUUGUUGUGAAAGAAAAGCAGCAGGUUAAUACCCCGCUGUUCUGACGGUACCCAAAGAAUAAGCACCGGCUAACUUCGUG
rnacentral:rRNA from 1 species